rnacentral:rRNA from 1 species
UACCGAGGUCUCAAGCGUUGUUCGGAUUCAUUGGGCGUAAAGGGUGCGUAGGCGGCGCGGUAAGUCGGGUGUGAAAUCUCGGAGCUUAACUCCGAAACUGCAUUCGAUACUGCCGUGCUUGAGGACUGGAGAGGAGACUGGAAUUUACGGUGUAGCGGUGAAAUGCGUAGAUAUCGUAAGGAAGACCAGUGGCGAAGGCGGGUCUCUGGACAGUUCCUGACGCUGAGGCACGAAGGUCAGGGGAGCAAACGGG